GAGAUACUGCCUGCCCAGGAGAGGAGGAGGAGGAGGAGGAGAGAUACUGACUGUCCAGGAGAGGAGGAGGAGGAGAGAUACUGACUGUCCAGGAGAGGAGGAGGAGGAGGAGGAGGAGGAGAGAUACUGACUGUCCAGGAGAGGAGGAGGAGGAGGAGGAGAGAUACUGACUGUCCAGGAGAGGAGGAGGAGGAGGAGGAGGAGGAGGAGAGAUACUGACUGACCAGGAGAGGAGGAGGAGGAGGAGGAGAGAUACUGACUGUCCAGGAGAGGAGGAGGAGGAGGAGGAGAGAUACUGACUGUCCAGGAGAGGAGGAGGAGGGAGAGAUACUG
rnacentral:lncRNA from 1 species